rnacentral:rRNA from 1 species
UACGGAGGGUGCAAGCGUUAAUCGGAAUUACUGGGCGUAAAGCGCACGCAGGUGGCUGAGUCAGUCGAUUGUGAAAGCCCUGGGCUUAACCUGGGAACUGCAUCCGAUACUGGAUGGCUUGAAUUCGGGAGAGGGAUGCAGAAUUCCAGGUGUAGCGGUGAAAUGCGUAGAUAUCUGGAGGAAUACCGGUGGCGAAGGCGGCAGCCUGGACCGAGAUUGACGCUGAUGAGCGAAAGCUAGGGGAGCAAACGGG